AGAGUUUGAUCCUGGCUCAGGAUGAACGCUAGCGAUAGGCUUAACACAUGCAAGUCGAGGGGUAACAUGGAGAGAAGCUUGCUUCACUCUGAUGACGACCGGCGGAUGGGUGAGUAACGCGUAUGCAACUUGCCUCUUAGUGGGGGAUAACCCGGAGAAAUCCGGACUAAUACCGCAUAUUCUUAAUUUCUCGCAUGAGUUAUUAAGGAAAGAUUUAUUGCUAAGAGAUAGGCAUGCGUUCCAUUAGUUAGUUGACAUUGGGACUGAGACACGGCCCAAACUCCUACGGGAGGCAGCAGUGAGGAAUAUUGGUCAAUGGAGGAAACUCUGAACCAGCCAAGUCGCGUGAAGGAUGACGGUCCUAUGGAUUGUAAACUUCUUUAGUAGGUGAGUAAGGAUAGGUACGUGUACCUAUUAGAAAGUAGCCUAAGAAUAAGUAUCGGCUAACUCCGUGCCAGCAGCCGCGGUAAUACGGAGGAUACGAGCGUUAUCCGGAUUUAUUGGGUUUAAAGGGUGCGUAGGUGGCUGAUUAAGUCAGUGGUGAAAAGCUAUGGCUCAACCAUAGUCUUGCCGUUGAUACUGGUUAGCUUGAGUGUAGAUGAUGUAGGCGGAAUGCGUAGUGUAGCGGUGAAAUGCAUAGAUAUUACGCAGAACUCCGAUUGCGAAGGCAGCUUACAAAACUACUACUGACACUGAGGCACGAAAGCGUGGGUAUCAAACAGGAUUAGAUACCCUGGUUACGUCGGCAACGAUGAAACUCAAAGGAAUUGACGGGGGCCCGCACAAGCGGAGGAACAUGUGGUUUAAUUCGAUGAUACGCGAGGAACCUUACCUGGGAUUGAAAUGUAUAGGCUGGCAACUGGAAACAGAUGCUGUUCACUUCGGUGACUUAUAUGUAGGUGCUGCAUGGUUGUCGUCAGCUCGUGCCGUGAGGUGUCGGCUUAAGUGCCAUAACGAGCGCAACCCUUAUCGUUAGUUGCUAACAGGUUAAGCUGAGGACUCUGGCGAGACUGCCGUCGUAAGGCGAGAGGAAGGUGGGGAUGACGUCAAAUCAGCACGGCCCUUAUAUCCAGGGCGACACACGUGUUACAAUGGUGAGGACAAAGGGUAGCUACCUGGUGACAGGAUGCCAAUCUCCAAACCUCAUCUCAGUUCGGAUCGAAGUCUGCAACUCGACUUCGUGAAGCUGGAUUCGCUAGUAAUCGCGCAUCAGCCAUGGCGCGGUGAAUACGUUCCCGGGCCUUGUACACACCGCCCGUCAAGCCAUGGAAGCUGGGGGUACCUGAAGUGCGUGACCGCGAGGAGCGUCCGAGGGUAAGACCGGUGACUGGGGCUAAGUCGUAACAAGGUAGCCGUACCGGAAGGUGCGGCUG
rnacentral:rRNA from 1 species